CUCGCGCCCAACAGAAAUGGGCGACCGCAAGUCUUACUCUCGCCGGCGUUACAAAGAUUAUUUAAAUUUUCCACAAAUUUCUACGGAUUAAUUCAAUGGCAGCUCACUUUCUCCUUUUAUGAUCGGAUGGGUCCGAAAGUGAGGAAAAAGACAAUUGUCUACAAAGAAAGAGGCUGCCAAGUGGAGACAGAAAAGCAGUUAUGAGACUGAUGAUAGAUUCCAAUUUGUUAUCGAAAGGAAGGAGGAGACCUGAACAGUACAUCCGGAGAAUCCAGCAAAGCAUACUACGGCAUGAACGUGCAAGUGGACAGAAUUAAAACACAUGCCAGAAACACUAAUGGAUUCUAAACAAGAUGCAGUUUCAUUUCCUGAGCCUAUACGUGAUGUUUUUAACUGUUCUCCAGUUAAUAUGUCUCCAUUUCCAGAAAUCUAACAGGAGAAUCUCUGACUGCUUAACAGAUCA
rnacentral:lncRNA from 1 species